rnacentral:rRNA from 1 species
AGUGAACGCUGGCGGUAGGCCUAACACAUGCAAGUCGAACGGCAGCACAGUAAGAGCUUGCUCUUACGGGUGGCGAGUGGCGGACGGGUGAGGAAUACAUCGGAAUCUACUUUUUCGUGGGGGAUAACGUAGGGAAACUUACGCUAAUACCGCAUACGACCUACGGGUGAAAGCAGGGGAUCUUCGGACCUUGCGCGAUUGAAUGAGCCGAUGUCGGAUUAGCUAGUUGGCGGGGUAAAGGCCCACCAAGGCGACGAUCCGUAGCUGGUCUGAGAGGAUGAUCAGCCACACUGGAACUGAGACACGGUCCAGACUCCUACGGGAGGCAGCAGUGGGGAAUAUUGGACAAUGGGCGCAAGCCUGAUCCAGCCAUACCGCGUGGGUGAAGACGGCCUUCGGGUUGUAAAGCCCUUUUGUUGGGAAAGAAAAGCAGCAGGUUAAUACCCCGCUGUUCUGACGGUACCCAAAGAAUAAGCACCGGCUAACUUCGU